GGGCUCGUGGCGAAACGGCAGACGCGCUGGACUUAGGAUCCAGUGGGGCAACCCAUGAGAGUUCAAAUCUCUCCGAGCCCA
rnacentral:tRNA from 1 species